rnacentral:rRNA from 1 species
GUGGAUUAGAUACCCUGGUAGUCCACACAGUAAACGGUGAUCACUAGGUGUUGCGGGUAUUGACCCCUGCAGUGCCGGAGCUAACGCAUUAAGUGAUCCGCCUGGGGAGUACGGUCGCAAGAUUAAAACUCAAAGGAAUUGACGGGGGCCCGCACAAGCGGUGGAGCAUGUGGUUUAAUUCGACGCAACGCGAAGAACCUUACCUGGACUUGACAUCUGGGGAAUCCUUAUGAAAGUAGGGAGUGCCCUUCGGGGAGCCCCAAGACAGGUGCUGCACGGCUGUCGACAACU